rnacentral:rRNA from 1 species
GAUGAACGCUGGCGGCGUGCCUAAUACAUGCAAGUCGAGCGAACAGACGAGGAGCUUGCUCCUCUGACGUUAGCGGCGGACGGGUGAGUAACACGUGGAUAACCUACCUAUAAGACUGGGAUAACUUCGGGAAACCGGAGCUAAUACCGGAUAAUAUAUUGAACCGCAUGGUUCAAUAGUGAAAUACGGUUUUGCUGUCACUUAUAGAUGGAUCCGCGCCGCAUUAGCUAGUUGGUAAGGUAACGGCUUACCAAGGCAACGAUGCGUAGCCGACCUGAGAGGGUGAUCAGCCACACUGGAACUGAGACACGGUCCAGACUCCUACGGGAGGCAGCAGUAGGGAAUCUUCCGCAAUGGGCGAAAGCCUGACGGAGCAACGCCGCGUGAGUGAUGAAGGUCUUCGGAUCGUAAAACUCUGUUAUUAGGGAAGAACAAAUGUGUAAGUAACUAUGCACGUCUUGACGGUACCUAAUCAGAAAGCCACGGCUAACUACGUG